UAAUCGUUUCAGAUAUCCUAAAUAUUUAAAUUAUUAAUAUAUGAUAAGUAUUUAAUCUUUUUAAGUUUUGUCAAUGAUAUUAUUAAUUAUUAUUAGAAAAUUUUUCAAUAUAUAAAGGUUUAUGAAAAUAAUUCAAGUAAUUCAAUGCUGCCAUGUGCACUAGAAAUACUUUUAAAGUUGUCUUCCACCGGCACUGUAUGCUUUAUCUAUGCUUUGUCUAUGUUCAAUGUUAUAUGAUCGUACUAAGAUCGUCGUAGUCACAUGGUCACGUAGUGGCAUGAGUGAAAGGUAUCGCAUAAUCGUAUGAGAGCUUUUACAGGUAUAUAGACAAUUAAUUUUUAAUGUAAGAAUAUUUUGUAAUAAUUAAAAGAGAAUGGCUUUGCAAAAUGUUACGAAGAUAGCGAUUGGAUGGUAGGAUUAUAUCUUCCGUUAUAGGAAUAUAUGCGUUUACGUAUGCGAGAAGAAGUAUAGAGGAAAAAAGAUAUCGUAUUAUGAAAACAAAGCAAAAUCAACAAAAUUCUGAUAUUGCUAACUGAGUUAUUUAUCCGUUUUAAAUAUUAUUAGCGGUAGUUAUCUAAAAAAUGGCUGGAUUACCUCAGUUUAACGAAGAACAAUUGAAACUAGUGCAAGAUAUAGAAAUAGAAAUGAUGACUGAUAUGUUUCAUCGCAUGACGGCAGCAUGUCAUAGGAAAUGUAUUCCACCAAAGUAUGUCAGUUCAGAACUAAGCAAAGGUGAAUCAGUGUGUCUUGAUCGUUGUAUUGCUAAAUAUUUGGAUGUACAAGAACGUAUUGGUAAAAAGCUUCAACAAAUUUCCAUGCAAGAAAGCAAAUUUGUAGAACAACCAAAAUUAAGUUAAAUAAAGUGAAAUAAAAUAUUAAUUUGUUAAGAUAAA